rnacentral:rRNA from 1 species
UACAGAGGUGGCGAGCGUUAUUCGGAAUUAUUUGGGCGUAAAGAGCUCGUAGGCGGUCUGUCGCGUCUGCUGUGAAAACUCAGAGCUUUAACCCUGAGCUUGCAGUGGGUACGGGCAGACUAGAGUGCGGUAGGGGAGAUUGGAAUUCCUGGUGUAGCGGUGGAAUGCGCAGAUAUCAGGAGGAACACCAGUGGCGAAGGCGGUCUCUGGGCCGUAACUGACGCUAG